UCUCUGGAGGACUAGUGGUUAGACCGUGUUGCUCUUGCUGCCACGGCCCGGGUUCGAUUCCUGGCCAGGGAA